rnacentral:sRNA from 1 species
AUAAACGUAAUACUUUAAGAUGAAGGAGGUAAUUGUUUUACUAUGUAUGCUUCUUGUCACUGAGUUUUGUCAAGUCACCGAAAGUUUAACUUUUUCACAAUUGAGUGAUGCAGUCCAAGCAAGGACCAAUGAAGACACCGGGCCAGUAUUUUCGAUGAGGAGGGGUGGAAUUAACUUUGCUGCUAGAAGACCUCGGCCAACAUGUAGGCGUAGUUGGUGGAGGAGAUGUUGACAGCCCCUCCACAACGACAACACAACAACGACAACAACUACAAGACAACAACAAUAACAUUAAUAACAACAAUAAAGCAACAGCAACAACAAGUAACGUCAUGUGUAAGAAGUUUUUCUUGUACCACAUCAUAUUGAAGGAGUUCGCCAAUCCAUUUUCAUCAUUUAUGUUUGAAUAAAAAAGUUCUUACACCAGUU